GCAUGUCUUAGUGUAAUAACUCUUAUGAAACUGCGAAUGGCUCAUUAAAUCAGUUAUCGUUUAUUUGAUGAUAUAAUUCCUAGUAAGCGCGAGUCAUCAGCUCGCGUUGAUUACGUCCCUGCCCUUUGUACACACCGCCCGUCGCUCCUACCGAUUGAAUGGUCCGGUGAAAUCUUCGGAUUGCUGGAUAGGAGGGCAACCACCUAUCUGCGAGAAGUUGCUUGAACCUUAUCAUUUAGAGGAAGGAGAAGUCGUAACAAGGUUUCCGUAGGUGAACCUGCAGAAGGAUC
rnacentral:rRNA from 1 species